rnacentral:rRNA from 1 species
GCACAAUGGGCGCAAGCCUGAUGCAGCCAUGCCGCGUGUAUGAAGAAGGCCUUCGGGUUGUAAAGUACUUUCAGCAGUGAGGAAGGUGGGUAUGUUAAUAGCAUACUCCAUUUUGACGUUAGCUGCAGAAGAAGCACCGGCUAACUCCGUGCCAGCAGCCGCGGUAAUACGGAGGGUGCGAGCGGUUUAAUCGGAAUUACUGGGCGUAAAGCGCAUGCAGGUGGUUUGUUAAGUCAGGAUGUGAAAGCCCGGGGCUCAACCUCGGAAUUGCAUUUGAAACUGGCAAACUAGAGUACUGUAGAGGGGGUAGAAUUUCAGGUGUAGCGGUGAAAUGCGUAGAGAUCUGAAGGAAUACCGGUGGCGAAGGCGGCCCCCUGGACAGAUACUGACACUCAGAUGCGAAAGCGUGGGGAGCAAACAGGAUUAGAUACCCUGGUAG